AACUUAUAAUUUCAUAUUUUUAACUUUUGACAGUGAGGUAAAUAUGCUGAUUGUUGUGGCUCGUGUAGAUUAAAUGUUUAUGUGACUUUAAUGAUGCUGAGAAGGGAUUUUUGGCAUUGAAUAAAACAAUAUCUGAGCGUGAAACAUCAAAAAAGAGCUCAAAAAGAUUGUUUGGAAGGCUCUUCUACCUCGCACUUCCUUCGUCAGUUUGCGAGAUUUUCGUACGUAAAAAAAAAAUUGCAACAAUGAAGAACAAUUGGCUCUAUUCCAAUCAGUGCAUGUCAACGUCCUGCUGAAUAUCAGGAGCGUUUGCAUGAAAAGCAAAUAUUAAUAGGCUUUAAUUGUGAGGGGAUGACCUUUGUCACUGUGGGUCUCUAUGCAUCAUGCAGGAUUAUUUAAAUUUCAUUAUCGAGACCACGGUACCAAUUUCUUCAUUUUUGAACAACAUUUUUAUGAAAUCAACUAUCUCAACUUUCUUUGAAGGUUUGAAUUGCUUACAAAUUUUUGCGGACACUUGAGUGUAUCAAUAUGAAAAAUGCAACGCAAUAUUUUGAUACGUUAACAUUAUCUUAAAAAUAACAUAGCUCGUGUAUUGCACGGGCAAUAGACUAGUGUGUGUGUG
rnacentral:lncRNA from 1 species